rnacentral:rRNA from 1 species
CCUGGGGAGUACGGCCGCAAGGCUAAAACUCAAAGGAAUUGACGGGGGCCCGCACAAGCGGCGGAGCAUGCGGAUUAAUUCGAUGCAACGCGAAGAACCUUACCAAGGCUUGACAUAAACCGGAAACACUUGGAAACAAGUGCCCCACUUGUGGUCGGUUNACAGGUGGUGCAUGGUUGUCGUCAGCUCGUGUCGUGAGAUGUUGGGUUAAGUCCCGCAACGAGCGCAACCCUCGUUCUAUGUUGCCAGCACGUGAUGGUGGGGACUCAUAGGAGACUGCCGGGGUCAACUCGGAGGAAGGUGGGGACGACGUCAAAUCAUCAUGCCCCUUAUGUCUUGGGCUUCACGCAUGCUACAAUGGCCGGUACAAUGGGUUGCGAUACUGUGAGGUGGAGCUAAUCCCAAAAAGCCGGUCUCAGUUCGGAUUGGGGUCUGCAACUCGACCCCANGAAGUCGGAGUCGCUAGUAAUCGCAGAUCAGCAACGCUGCGGUGAAUACGUUCCCGG